CAGUCGCCGCGGGAAAACGAAGGGGGCUAGCGUUGUUCGGAUUUACUGGGCGUAAAGCGCACGUAGGCGGAUCGAUCAGUCAGGGGUGAAAUCCUGGAGCUCAACUCCAGAACUGCCUUUGAUACUGUCGAUCUCGAGUCCGGAAGAGGUGAGUGGAACUCCUAGUGUAGAGGUGGAAUUCGUAGAUAUUAGGAAGAACACCAGUGGCGAAGGCGGCUCACUGGUCCGGUACUGACGCUGAGGUGCGAAAGCGUGGGGAGCAAACAGGAUUAGAUACCCCAGUAGUCCCUGUCUCUUAUAC
rnacentral:rRNA from 1 species